rnacentral:rRNA from 1 species
UCCAACCUGCCGAUAACUCGGGGAUAGCCUUUCGAAAGAAAGAUUAAUACCCGAUGGCAUAAUAGAACCGCAUGGUUUGAUUAUUAAAGAAUUUCGGUUAUCGAUGGGGAUGCGUUCCAUUAGGCAGUUGGUGGGGUAACGGCCCACCAAACCUUCGAUGGAUAGGGGUUCUGAGAGGAAGGUCCCCCACAUUGGAACUGAGACACGGUCCAAACUCCUACGGGAGGCAGCAGUGAGGAAUAUUGGUCAAUGGACGAGAGUCUGAACCAGCCAAGUAGCGUGAAGGAUGACUGCCCUAUGGGUUGUAAACUUCUUUUAUAUGGGAAUAAAGUGGUCCACGUGUGGAUUUUUGUAUGUACCAUAUGAAUAAGGAUCGGCUAACUCCGUGCCAGCAGCCGCGGUAAUACGGAGGAUCCGAGCGUUAUCCGGAUUUAUUGGGUUUAAAGGGAGCGUAGGUGGACAGUUAAGUCAGUUGUGAAAGUUUGCGGCUCAACCGUAAAAUUGCAGUUGAUACUGGCUGUCUUAAGUACAGUAGAGGUGGGCGGAAUUCGUGGUGUAGCGGUGAAAUGCUUAGAUAUCACGAAGAACUCCGAUUGCGAAGGCAGCUCACUGGACUGCAACUGACACUGAUGCUCGAAAGUGUGGGUAUCAAACAGGAUUAGAUACCCUGGUAGUCCACACAGUAAACGAUGAAUACUCGCUGUUUGCGAUAUACAGUAAGCGGCCAAGCGAAAGCAUUAAGUAUUCCACCUGGGGAGUAC